rnacentral:rRNA from 1 species
AGUGAACGCUGGCGGUAGGCCUAACACAUGCAAGUCGAACGGCAGCACAGUAAGAGCUUGCUCUUACGGGUGGCGAGUGGCGGACGGGUGAGGAAUACAUCGGAAUCUACUUUUUCGUGGGGGAUAACGUAGGGAAACUUCCGCUAAUACCGCAUACGUCCUACUGGUGAAAGCAGGGGAUCUUCUGACCUUGCGCUAUUGAAUGAGCCGAUGUCGGAUUAGCUAGUUGGCGGGGUAAAGGCCCACCAAGGCGACGAUCCGUAGCUGGUAUGAGAGGAUGAUCAGCCACACUGGAACUGAGACACGGUCCAGACUCCGACGGGAGGCAGCAGUGGGGAAUAUUGGACAAUGGGCGCAAGCCUGAUCCAGCCAUACCGCGUGGGUGAAGAAGGCCUUCGGGUUGCAAAGCCCUUCUGUUGGGAAAGAAAAGCAGCAGGUUAAUACCCCGCUGUUCUGACGGUACCCAAAGAAUAAGCACCGGCUAACUUCGUG